CCUAGCGGACACUAGACAAACUUUUUAAAGUCACAAACGAAACACGCAGAAGAACUGAAAAACAAAAAUCAUUCGCUUGAGGUGGAGAAUGCGAAGGUGAUAACGAGGCUCCAAUACCUUGAGGCUGAGCGUGAGAAGGCUGAAAAGAAGGCAAACAAAUCUGA